rnacentral:tRNA from 1 species
GCCUGUAUGGUGUAGUCUGGACAACAAAAAGCUAACUUUUUGAGCUUACGACCCGAGUUCAAAUCUCGGUACAGGCA